rnacentral:rRNA from 1 species
GACGAACGCUGGCGGCGUGCUUAACACAUGCAAGUCGAACGGAAAGGCCCUGCUUUUGUGGGGUGCUGGAGUGGCGAACGGGUGAGUAACACGUGAGUAACCUGCCCUUGACUUUGGGAUAACUUCAGGAAACUGGGGCUAAUACCGGAUAGGAGCUCCUGCUGCAUGGUGGGGGUUGGAAAGUUUCGGCGGUUGGGGAUGGACUCGCGGCUUAUCAGCUUGUUGGUGGGGUAGUGGCUUACCAAGGCUUUGACGGGUAGCCGGCCUGAGAGGGUGACCGGCCACAUUGGGACUGAGAUACGGCCCAGACUCCUACGGGAGGCAGCAGUGGGGAAUAUUGCACAAUGGGCGGAAGCCUGAUGCAGCAACGCCGCGUGCGGGAUGACGGCCUUCGGGUUGUAAACCGCUUUCGCCUGUGACGAAGCGUGAGUGACGGUAAUGGGUAAAGAAGCACCGGCUAACUACGU